UCUAAAUUGACAGAAUUAAUGUAUUGAAAUUAGAAUUCAAGUAUAAGAUAAAUAAGUCUUAUUUAGAA
rnacentral:tRNA from 1 species